GGGUUGUGAGGUUAAGCGACUAAGCGUACACGGUGGAUGCCCUGGCAGUCAGAGGCGAUGAAGGACGUGCUAAUCUGCGAUAAGCGCCGGUAAGGUGAUAUGAACCGUUAUAACCGGCGAUUUCCGAAUGGGGAAACCCAGUGUGAUUCGUCACACUAUCAUUAACUGAAUCCAUAGGUUAAUGAGGCGAACCGGGGGAACUGAAACAUCUAAGUACCCCGAGGAAAAGAAAUCAACCGAGAUUCCCCCAGUAGCGGCGAGCGAACGGGGAGGAGCCCAGAGCCUGAAUCAGCAUGUGUGUUAGUGGAAGCGUCUGGAAAGGCGCGCGAUACAGGGUGACAGCCCCGUACACAAAAGCGCAUGUGCUGUGAGCUCGAUGAGUAGGGCGGGACACGUGGUAUCCUGUCUGAAUAUGGGGGGACCAUCCUCCAAGGCUAAAUACUCCUGACUGACCGAUAGUGAACCAGUACCGUGAGGGAAAGGCGAAAAGAACCCCGGCGAGGGGAGUGAAAAAGAACCUGAAACCGUGUACGUACAAGCAGUGGGAGCACCCUUUGGGGUGUGACUGCGUACCUUUUGUAUAAUGGGUCAGCGACUUAUAUUCUGUAGCAAGGUUAACCGUAUAGGGGAGCCGCAGGGAAACCGAGUCUUAACCGGGCGUUAAGUUGCAGGGUAUAGACCCGAAACCCGGUGAUCUAGCCAUGGGCAGGUUGAAGGUUGGGUAACACUAACUGGAGGACCGAACCGACUAAUGUUGAAAAAUUAGCGGAUGACCUGUGGCUGGGGGUGAAAGGCCAAUCAAACCGGGAGAUAGCUGGUUCUCCCCGAAAGCUAUUUAGGUAGCGCCUCGUGAAUUCAUCUCCGGGGGUAGAGCACUGUUUCGGCUAGGGGGCCAUCCCGGCUUACCAACCCGAUGCAAACUGCGAAUACCGGAGAAUGUUAUCACGGGAGACACACGGCGGGUGCUAACGUCCGUCGUGAAGAGGGAAACAACCCAGACCGCCAGCUAAGGUCCCAAAGUCAUGGUUAAGUGGGAAACGAUGUGGGAAGGCCCAGACAGCCAGGAUGUUGGCUUAGAAGCAGCCAUCAUUUAAAGAAAGCGUAAUAGCUCACUGGUCGAGUCGGCCUGCGCGGAAGAUGUAACGGGGCUAAACCAUGCACCGAAGCUGCGGCAGCGACACUGAGGUGUUGUUGGGUAGGGGAGCGUUCUGUAAGCCUGUGAAGGUGGCCUGUGAGGGUUGCUGGAGGUAUCAGAAGUGCGAAUGCUGACAUAAGUAACGAUAAAGCGGGUGAAAAGCCCGCUCGCCGGAAGACCAAGGGUUCCUGUCCAACGUUAAUCGGGGCAGGGUGAGUCGACCCCUAAGGCGAGGCCGAAAGGCGUAGUCGAUGGGAAACGGGUUAAUAUUCCCGUACUUGGUGUUACUGCGAAGGGGGGACGGAGAAGGCUAUGUUGGCCGGGCGACGGUUGUCCCGGUUUAAGCGUGUAGGUGUGUGUUCCAGGUAAAUCCGGUUCACUUUAACACUGAGGCGUGAUGACGAGGCACUACGGUGCUGAAGCAACAAAUGCCCUGCUUCCAGGAAAAGCCUCUAAGCAUCAGGUAACAUCAAAUCGUACCCCAAACCGACACAGGUGGUCAGGUAGAGAAUACCAAGGCGCUUGAGAGAACUCGGGUGAAGGAACUAGGCAAAAUGGUGCCGUAACUUCGGGAGAAGGCACGCUGACACGUAGGUGAAGUGAUUUACUCACGGAGCUGAAGUCAGUCGAAGAUACCAGCUGGCUGCAACUGUUUAUUAAAAACACAGCACUGUGCAAACACGAAAGUGGACGUAUACGGUGUGACGCCUGCCCGGUGCCGGAAGGUUAAUUGAUGGGGUCAGCGCAAGCGAAGCUCCUGAUCGAAGCCCCGGUAAACGGCGGCCGUAACUAUAACGGUCCUAAGGUAGCGAAAUUCCUUGUCGGGUAAGUUCCGACCUGCACGAAUGGCGUAAUGAUGGCCAGGCUGUCUCCACCCGAGACUCAGUGAAAUUGAACUCGCUGUGAAGAUGCAGUGUACCCGCGGCAAGACGGAAAGACCCCGUGAACCUUUACUAUAGCUUGACACUGAACAUUGAGCCUUGAUGUGUAGGAUAGGUGGGAGGCUUUGAAGUGUGGACGCCAGUCUGCAUGGAGCCGACCUUGAAAUACCACCCUUUAAUGUUUGAUGUUCUAACGUGGACCCGUAAUCCGGGUUGCGGACAGUGUCUGGUGGGUAGUUUGACUGGGGCGGUCUCCUCCUAAAGAGUAACGGAGGAGCACGAAGGUUGGCUAAUCCUGGUCGGACAUCAGGAGGUUAGUGCAAUGGCAUAAGCCAGCUUGACUGCGAGCGUGACGGCGCGAGCAGGUGCGAAAGCAGGUCAUAGUGAUCCGGUGGUUCUGAAUGGAAGGGCCAUCGCUCAACGGAUAAAAGGUACUCCGGGGAUAACAGGCUGAUACCGCCCAAGAGUUCAUAUCGACGGCGGUGUUUGGCACCUCGAUGUCGGCUCAUCACAUCCUGGGGCUGAAGUAGGUCCCAAGGGUAUGGCUGUUCGCCAUUUAAAGUGGUACGCGAGCUGGGUUUAGAACGUCGUGAGACAGUUCGGUCCCUAUCUGCCGUGGGCGCUGGAGAACUGAGGGGGGCUGCUCCUAGUACGAGAGGACCGGAGUGGACGCAUCACUGGUGUUCGGGUUGUCAUGCCAAUGGCACUGCCCGGUAGCUAAAUGCGGAAGAGAUAAGUGCUGAAAGCAUCUAAGCACGAAACUUGCCCCGAGAUGAGUUCUCCCUGAGACUUAGAGUCUCCUGAAGGAACGUUGAAGACGACGACGUUGAUAGGCCGGGUGUGUAAGCGCAGCGAUGCGUUGAGCUAACCGGUACUAAUGAACCGUGAGGCUUAACCUUACAACGCCGAAG
rnacentral:rRNA from 1 species